AUGUGCUCUGUUUCUGAAAUGGGACAUAGCCCCCCUCUUCUACAGUCUGGCUGUUCCUGGCUGUUCCUCCCUCUUCUACAGUGUGGCUGUUCCUCCCUCUUCUACAGUGUGGCUGUUCCUGGCUGUUCCUCCCUCUUCUACAGUGUGGCUGUUCCUCCCUCUUCUACAGUGUGGCUGUUCCUCCCUCUUCUACAGUGUGGCUGUUCCUGGCUGUUCCUCCCUCUUCUACAGUCUGGCUGUUCCCGGUCCUAUGCCUCUGCAGUGGUGGGCAGAACUCCAACGUACAGAGUCUUCCUGUCCAGCGUCUUCAUUGACCACUCUGCUGGGAUUUCUGAAACACAUAUACAAAUGAUUGAAAAGUAUGAAGGAAGAAUAUCUGCUGGCACCUUUAAGGAGGUAAAACCUGUAAGGAAUUAAGAAAAGAAAAGAAUGAGAGGAGUCUGUCUCCACUACGUGAAACUAGAUAAUUUUAUUCUGAGGAGUUUGAAAGGGCUGCUGACCACCGACUGCUCUAUUAAACUCUCUUAUGCACGUUACUCUGUUAAUUUCCAUUCAUUGUUGUGUUUCUAGGUAGUGCCGUCUCGUGUUUCUAGGUAGUGCCGUCUCGUGUUUCUAGGUAGUGCCGUCUCGUGUUUCUAGGUAGUGCCGUCUCGUGUUUCUAGGUAGUGCCGUCUCGUGUUUCUAGGUAGUGCCGUCUCGUGUUUCUAGGUAGUGCCGUCUCGUGUUUCUAGGUAGUGCCGUCUCGUGUUUCUAGGUAGUGCCGUCUCGUGUUUCUAGGUAGUGCCGUCUCGUGUUUCUAGGUAGUGCCGUCUCGUGUUUCUAGGUAGUGCCGUCUCGUGUUUCUAGGUAGUGCCGUCUCGUGUUUCUAGGUAGUGCCGUCUCGUGUUUCUAGGUAGUGCCGUCUCGUGUUUCUAGGUAGUGCCGUCUCGUGUUUCUAGGUAGUGCCGUCUCGUGUUUCUAGGUAGUGCCGUCUCGUGUUUCUAGGUAGUGCCGUCUCGUGUUUCUAGGUAGUGCUGUCUCGUGUUUCUAGGUAGUGUUGUCUCGUGUUUCUAGGUAGUGUUGUCUUGUGUUUCUAGGUAGUGUUGUCUCGUGUUUCUAGGUAGUGUUGUCUCGUGUUUCUAGGUAGUGUUGUCUCGUGUUUCUAGGUAGUGUUGUCUUGUGUUUCUAGGUAAAAAAAUAAAUGCUUCAUUAAAUUAAAUGUUGCCCAUUUACAUCACAUAUGUUGCCGGACUACAGCUAGCUACCCAGCUAGCUACCCAGCUAGCUACCCACGACGUAUUGACAUCUACCUUAAAUAACAUUCGUUUUUAGGUCAUCUUUGUUUAUUUGGCGAUUCACAUCCAGUAUAUCUAGCUGAUAAUUAGGAAGUAAAACGGUUUGCUUUGUGUCGAUCUUGUUGGGUCUUUAUUGUUGCCAUUGUCCUGGCUGGAAGAAAGGUCUGUGGAGUGGGAGGUGCAGAGGUAAUACAGCGGGAGGUAAACGCACUCGGAGCGCGAGAGUGUGGAGCAAGGUAGCCUUGCAUACUGAGAAACACCCAUUUUAUCUCAUGCUUAAAAUGUGUUCCCCCAUUAUUAUAAUUUGAAAGUUCCCAUGGUAGUUAAUUCAACAGUGGGAAGUUAACUAAACGAGUUGAUAUGGCUACUGAAACAGCUUUUUCCUCGAUAUUGGCAGUAGAUAUUUUUGUUCUAUUUCAGAUUUGAACUGCAGAUAAGAAGACCAAGAUGUCAUACCCUCCCAUCUUUGUCUAACUAGUUGGGAAAACGGUCAAAUGGCAUUUUGACCACUCAAAUCUCCGAACGUUUGAACCAUAUAAAAGAUAAAUCUGCAAUCGGGAACAGAACUGAAUAGCAGCGAAGGAUACCAAGAUUUCACAAGCUAUACGUUUUUGUUGUUGGGAAAGUGGUCAAAGUGGAUGAUUUGUCAAAAGUUACAUUAUUUAACAGUGUUGGAAUUCAUGAUGUCACAAUGGGGAGUUCUAGAAUAUUGAAGAAAAAAAGUCCCAUUAAAAUGAAUGAAAAAAAAAGGCUACAUUUUAUAGUUUAAAAAGUAUAUAUAUUUUUUUUCAAUCAAAAAGUAAAAUGUAAGCACAAUAUUCCAGAUCAUUCCACAUGUUUUAAAGUUUGAACCAUGUUUCUAGCAAUGAAUGUGUAAGAGGAGUAGCGUGCAGAAGAAUGAGAACAAGUAUGAUGAAGAUUUAUAGUCGGGAGUGAUGCUUCAAGUCCCACCUAAUUAGGUAGGAAGAACUAUGAGCUUUACGCCAAACCAGCCGUCUGCUAGGGCAGUCAGGCAGUCUGUCAGACACAGUAAUUGGACAGGGAGGUUUCCUCAGCCCAGGACUUGCUUCUUUGCUGCUGGUUCAAGGUCAAUAUUAAACCAGUUU
ensembl:lncRNA